rnacentral:tRNA from 1 species
CAAAAAAUAGUUUAAUUAAAAUAAUAAUUUUGGGAAUUAUUGAUAUUUUGAAAAAAAUUUUUUUGA